rnacentral:rRNA from 1 species
CCAGAGCCUGAAUCAGUGUGUGUGUUAGUGGAAGCGUCUGGAAAGGCGCGCGAUACAGGGUGACAGCCCCGUACACAAAAAUGCACAUGCUGUGAGCUCGAUGAGUAGGGCGGGACACGUGGUAUCCUGUCUGAAUAUGGGGGGACCAUCCUCCAAGGCUAAAUACUCCUGACUGACCGAUAGUGAACCAGUACCGUGAGGGAAAGGCGAAAAGAACCCCGGCGAGGGGAGUGAAAAAGAACCUGAAACCGUGUACGUACAAGCAGUGGGAGCACGCUUAGGCGUGUGACUGCGUACCUUUUGUAUAAUGGGUCAGCGACUUAUAUUCUGUAGCAAGGUUAACCGAAUAGGGGAGCCGAAGGGAAACCGAGUCUUAACUGGGCGUUAAGUUGCAGGGUAUAGACCCGAAACCCGGUGAUCUAGCCAUGGGCAGGUUGAAGGUUGGGUAACACUAACUGGAGGACCGAACCGACUAAUGUUGAAAAAUUAGCGGAUGACUUGUGGCUGGGGGUGAAAGGCCAAUCAAACCGGGAGAUAGCUGGUUCUCCCCGAAAGCUAUUUAGGUAGCGCCUCGUGAAUUCAUCUCCGGGGGUAGAGCACUGUUUCGGCAAGGGGGUCAUCCCGACUUACCAACCCGAUGCAAACUGCGAAUACCGGAGAAUGUUAUCACGGGAGACACACGGCGGGUGCUAACGUCCGUCGUGAAGAGGGAAACAACCCAGACCGCCAGCUAAGGUCCCAAAGUCAUGGUUAAGUGGGAAACGAUGUGGGAAGGCCCAGACAGCCAGGAUGUUGGCUUAGAAGCAGCCAUCAUUUAAAGAAAGCGUAAUAGCUCACUGGUCGAGUCGGCCUGCGCGGAAGAUGUAACGGGGCUAAACCAUGCACCGAAGCUGCGGCAGCGACACUAUGUGUUGUUGGGUAGGGGAGCGUUCUGUAAGCCUGCGAAGGUGUGCUGUGAGGCAUGCUGGAGGUAUCAGAAGUGCGAAUGCUGACAUAAGUAACGAUAAAGCGGGUGAAAAGCCCGCUCGCCGGAAGACCAAGGGUUCCUGUCCAACGUUAAUCGGGGCAGGGUGAGUCGACCCCUAAGGCGAGGCCGAAAGGCGUAGUCGAUGGGAAACAGGUUAAUAUUCCUGUACUUGGUGUUACUGCGAAGGGGGGACGGAGAAGGCUAUGUUGGCCGGGCGACGGUUGUCCCGGUUUAAGCGUGUAGGCUGGUUUUCCAGGCAAAUCCGGAAAAUCAAGGCUGAGGCGUGAUGACGAGGCACUACGGUGCUGAAGCAACAAAUGCCCUGCUUCCAGGAAAAGCCUCUAAGCAUCAGGUAACAUCAAAUCGUACCCCAAACCGACACAGGUGGUCAGGUAGAGAAUACCAAGGCGCUUGAGAGAACUCGGGUGAAGGAACUAGGCAAAAUGGUGCCGUAACUUCGGGAGAAGG